UACGUAGGGGGCAAGCGUUGUCCGGAAUCAUUGGGCGUAAAGAGCGCGUAGGCGGUCCGGUAAGUCCGCUCUGAAAGCCCGGGGCUCAACCCCGGGAGGCGGGCGGAUACUGUCGGGCUAGAGUCCGGAAGAGGCGAGUGGAAUUCCUGGUGUAGCGGUGAAAUGCGCAGAUAUCAGGAGGAACACCGAUGGCGAAGGCAGCUCGCUGGGACGGUACUGACGCUGAGGCGCGAAAGCGUGGGGAGCGAACAGG
rnacentral:rRNA from 1 species